UUACAUCAUACCUACUGUUGUUUUUUUACUCUUAAUAGAUUCUCAGUCUUAUUCCUUCUUGUUCAUUUUUCAUUGUUGAUUACAGCUGGAAUUGACACUGGUUAUUGCUACUUGGGUGAUAAAAAUAGCUUCUGUUUGCCAAAGAUAAAGUUAUAGAUAUUAUACUUUUAAUGGUCUUAAUUUAUUGUGUUACUUAAGAGUUACCCUUUUGCAUUUCCAGAAAAGGAACUGCUAUAGUGGAUCUCUCUGGGAAUGGUGACCCCUCCUCAAUUUGUACUGUAAUGCGAAGUGAUGGGACUUCUCUCUAUGCAACCAGAGAUCUCGCAGCUGCUAUAGAUCGAAUGGACAAGUAUAAUUUUGAUACAAUGAUUUAUGUGACAGAUAAAGGGCAAAAAAAGCAUUUUCAUCAAGUGUUCCAAAUGCUGAAGAUCAUGGGAUAUGAAUGGGCAGAAAGGU